rnacentral:rRNA from 1 species
AUUGAACGCUGCGGCAGGCCUAACCCAUGCAAGUCGCACGGUAACAGGAAGAAGCUUGCUUCUUUGCUGACGAGUGGCGGACGGGUGAGUAAUGUCUGGGAAACUGCCUGAUGGAGGGGGAUAACUACUGGAAACGGUAGCUAAUACCGCAUAACGUCGCAAGACCAAAGAGGGGGACCUUCGGGCCUCUUGCCAUCGGAUGUGCCCAGAUGGGAUUAGCUAGUAGGUGGGGUAACGGCUCACCUAGGCGACGAUCCCUAGCUGGUCUGAGAGGAUGACCAGCCACACUGGAACUGAGACACGGUCCAGACUCCUACGGGAGGCAGCAGUGGGGAAUAUUGCACAAUGGGCGCAAGCCUGAUGCAGCCAUGCCGCGUGUAUGAAGAAGGCCUUCGGGUUGUAAAGUACUUUCAGCGGGGAGGAAGGGAGUAAAGUUAAUACCUUUGCUCAUUGACGUUACCCGCAGAAGAAGCACCGGCUAACUCCGUG